GACGAACGCUGGCGGCGUGCUUAACACAUGCAAGUCGAACGGAAAGGCCCUGCUUUUGUGGGGUGCUCGAGUGGCGAACGGGUGAGUAACACGUGAGUAACCUGCCCUUGACUUUGGGAUAACUUCAGGAAACUGGGGCUAAUACCGGAUAGGAGCUCCUGCUGCAUGGUGGGGGUUGGAAAGUUUCGGCGGCUGGGGAUGGACUCGCGGCUUAUCAGCUGUUUGGUGGGGUAGUGGCUUACCAAGGCUUUGACGGGUAGCCGGCCUGAGAGGGUGACCGGCCAGAUUGGGACUGAGAUACGGCCCGUACUCCUACAGGAGGCAGCAGUCGGGAAGAUUGCACAAUGGGCGGAAGCCUGAUGCAGCAACGCCGCGUGCGGGAUGAAGGCCUUCGGGUUGUAAACCGCCUGCGCCGGUGACGAAGCGUGAGUGACGGUAAUGGGUAAAGAAGCACCGGCUAACUACGUG
rnacentral:rRNA from 1 species